rnacentral:rRNA from 1 species
CCUACGGGUGGCAGCAGUGAGGAAUAUUGGUCAAUGGGCGCGAGCCUGAACCAGCCAAGUAGCGUGAAGGAUGACUGCCCUACGUGUUGUAAACUUCUUUUAUAAAGGAAUAAAGUGAGGCACGUGUGCCUUUUUGUAUGUACUUUAUGAAUAAGGAUCGGCUAACUCCGUGCCAGCAGCCGCGGUAAUACGGAGGAUCCGAGCGUUAUCCGGAUUUAUUGGGUUUAAAGGGAGCGUAGAUGGGUUGUUAAGUCAGUUGUGAAAGUUUGGGGCUCAACCGUAAAAUUGCAAUUGAUACUGGCAGCCUUGAGUACGGUUGAGGUAGGCGGAAUUCGUGGUGUAGCGGUGAAAUGCAUAGAUAUCACGAAGAACUCCGAUUGCGAAGGCAGCUUGCUGAACUGCCACUGACGUUGAGGCUCGAAAGUGUGGGUAUCAAACAGGAUUAGAUACCCCAGUAGUC